GUAGGUGAACCUGCGGAAGGAUCAUUAACACGUAUCCACGUUUCAAUAUCCACCCCAACUCUGGUCACAGGAUCUAACAUGGCAGGUUGUAAUGUUGUUCGCCGCAAGGUGAACCACCUCUUCCCCUCUGCCUUGAUCUCUACCCUUUUUUCACCCCUUUUGACUCACCCUACUAACACCCCGAGUGGACUGAUACAAACGUGUCGACCUUUACCGGCUCGACCGAACCAUAUGGAUUUUCCAAUGAGUUAAGCACAACUCUUAGCAAUGGAUAUCUUGGUUCUC
rnacentral:misc_RNA from 1 species